rnacentral:rRNA from 1 species
CCUACGGGUGGCAGCAGUGAGGAAUAUUGGUCAAUGGGCGGGAGCCUGAACCAGCCAAGUCGCGUGAGGGAUGACGGCCCUACGUGUUGUAAACCUCUUUUGCCGGGGAGCAAAGGGCGGGACGAGUCCCGCCACGAGGGUACCUGGAGAAAAAGCAUCGGCUAACUCCGGUCCAGCAGCCGCGGUAAUACGGAGGAUGCGAGGGUUAUCCGGAUUUAUUGGGUUUAAAGGGUGCGCAGGCGGACGGGUAAGUCAGCGGUAAAAGGCCGGGGCUCAACCCCGUCCCGCCGUUGAAACUGGCGGUCUUGAGUGGAAGAGAAGUACGCGGAAUGCGCGGUGUAGCGGUGAAAUGCAUAGAUAUCGCGCAGAACCCCGAUUGCGAAGGCAGCGUACCGGCUCCAGACUGACGCUGAGGCACGAAAGCGUGGGUAUCGAACAGGAUUAGAUACCCGUGUAGUC